rnacentral:lncRNA from 1 species
CGAUUGGGAAUGGAAUCAAUAGUGGACUGAUCUAAGCACCAAUGGGUCCUAACUAAUAGAGGGUAAUUCAGAAAAGAGAAGCAAAAUGGUAGUUCAAAGUGGUGGUAGAUGCGACAGCAUUUAGGGAGAAAAGAGAGGAAAUUGACGGCUCAAGGGUGUAAGGCACAACAACUAGGAAAAGUGAAGAAAGAAAAGAGAAAAGAAGGAGAAGAGAGGGGGAUGACGUAAGGGAAAAUAAAGAAAAAAGAGAAGAGAAGGGAGGAGCAGAAAAAAAAACGAAGCUAAAGAGAAAGAUGAAGAGAAUUUGGAAAUUUUAGGGUUUAAGGGGUGGCACAAAACUAGGGAAAAUGAAAAGAGGGGGCUGUUUUAGAAAAGUAUGUUUAUAUAUUAGGGUUAGGCAGCACAUUAGGGUUAUGGC